CAAUAGUGUAUAUUAAAGUUGUUGCAGUUAAAAAGCUCGUAGUUGGAUCUGUGGUGUGCGGUGGGCUCCGGGCACUUGUUGUCUGAGUAGCUCGCCGCUGCCAUCCUUGGGUGGAACCUGUGUGGCAUUGGGUUGUCGUGCAGGGGAUGCCCAUCGUUUACUGUGAAAAAAUUAGAGUGUUCAAAGCAGGCUUAUGCCGUUGAAUAUAUUAGCAUGGAAUAAUGAGAUAGGACUUUUUCGCUAUUUUGUUGGUUUGCGCGAAGAGGUAAUGAUUAAUAGGGACAGUUGGGGGUAUUCGUAUUCCAUUGUCAGAGGUGAAAUUCUUGGAUUUUUGGAAGACGAGCUACUGCGAAAGCAUUUACCAAGGAUGUUUUCAUUAA
rnacentral:rRNA from 1 species